AGUGAGUGAGUAUUUUUAAGUUCUUUAGAAAUUUGUCAAUUGGAUUGAAGUGAAAUAUUUUUUUUAUGAAGGCUAGACUUAAUUUUCAAUAGUUCAAGUAAAUUUUGGAAGAAAUUUAAUAAUUCAAAAAGGAGAUAUUGGCAUUGGAAGUUCAACAUUUAGAGUAGAGUGAAAGACCACUAAUAUCCAAAUAGAUUUUAAGAUUUUUCUUCUAUUUGAUGAGUGCAAUUAUCUUCAAAUUUUUUGUACUUUUUUUUAAUUAAGAAGUUCAAAGGUUUGUAAAUUUUUAAGCAAGAUUAAUGGUUUAAUCAAUAAAUAUUGAGAUUCUAAUCUACCUUCAUAUUAGUUUGAGUUAAUUAGAUUUUUGUUGGGAUUUGGUUUAUAAUUUAGGAUUUAUCUAAAGUUUGGUUUGAGAUUUAGGAUUUAUUUAGGACUUAAGAUUUGUCCAAGAUUUGAUUUAGGAUUUAGGAUUUGUCUAUGAUUUGAUUUAGGAUUUAGAAAUUAAUUAGGAUUUGAUUUAGAAUU
rnacentral:lncRNA from 1 species